CCAGCCCCCAGAGAGGGAGAGCAGAGGUCUGCAGCUCAACAGGCGUCCCUGGGAGCCAGGAUUGCUGCUUGGCCAACAAGCUGGUGUGUUGGACCAGCCUGGCUGUUGAUGAAGGUAUAUGGAUCUGCAGAAGGGGAUGCCCAAGUUAGAGACUCGCUGUUCCUGAGCUGCUGGGGGCCAUGGAGGGGACAUGGGGAGGCAGAGCAGGGUGGGGCCUGCCCGGAUGACAGCCUGUGGCCCCCAGGGUCCCCGAAGCUCCAUGCCUCGUGCUGUUGUCAUGGCGUCAUAGCGCCUAGCCUAUUAUUUAUUUUGUACGUUCUCUUCAACGGUUCCCUUUUAAAAACCUAAACAAAUGGAGCUCGGGAUCCCGACAAAGCCUAGAAAGCCAGCGCCAGCUGCCAUCACUAGAAGGGCCACUGGAUCGUGGGAUCAGAGUCCAACACGGAGCCUGCAUGUACCAGCAGCUCUGCUUCCACAGAUCCACAAAAUGACUGUUUAAAGUGUGAAGAGUCAAACAAAUACAUAUUCCCCAAACAAGGACAACACUCAGCAAGCCAGAAAGUGCACUGGUUCCCUGAAAAUCAGAGAAGAACUUGCUCCAAUCAAGGUGGGAAACCACCCCCUAGGUAGGAAUGCCCUAGGACAUUUCAAGUGAAGACACAACCUGUGCCACUGAGCAGAACAACAGAUUCGACUCACGUGAGAAUUUUCUAGAGGGGCCAGGUUUAACAGAGCAAUGAGAACAGGAAUUACUUUAUGAUGUGGGAAAAUUAGUAUCCUCAGAGAGAAGGGAGGAUAUCACGGUAAAAACAAGAAUUAGCUGUUCUGAAAAAGAACUAAUUAGAGAUUUGAGGAGGGGAAAAUGCAAUUAUUAAAAAAAAAAAAAGAGGGCAACUUGUGCAUGGGCUACACAGAGCAGAGGGUGAGGGGUUGGGGCAGGGCCCUGGCCGUGCAGCUUGGACACCAGUGUCCUGGGAAAGGCCCCUUCAGCACCCACACCUCAUGGUCUCAAGCCCGCCUUCUGUGCCUUUGGUCUGGAGCUCCAGGUCAGUCGGGACUUGCUGGCAGGCAAGGGAAGUGAACUGGCAGAUGGAAGCCGAGAGGGAUUUGGUGAAAUUUCUGGAAUGCAUGGCCAGCUUGGGAAGAAGGUACCUGGGAGCAUCUGGCCCAGGAGGACAGGCUCUUGCCCUUUCUUUUUCUCAGGGGAAGUGUGCCUUCCCCAGGACAGGGCUGUGCGUGCUGUCUUCCUGCUCUCUCCUUGGGGUGCAGGAUGAAUGCUGACUCCUUGUGCCUGCCAGCCUUGUCCCAGACACAGAAACACCACCAGCCUCUGUCCCUCCCUUUUCCUUCCAGCUCUGCUUCUCUUCCUGCAGCCGCUGGCUUGAGCAUGAGGCCUCUGUGUGUGUAACCUUGCCAGCCAGACUGGGCCCCGAAGCUGAGGCUGUGCUGGAGCUCAGACCACCCUGGAGACCCCCAUAGAGGGAGAUAACCCUCAACCCACUUGUCCACACUCCACACAGCCUGUUGCUUAGUCAACAGAGUGUUCUGCGCACAGAAGAGGAACUCAAAGGGCAAAGACCGUAUGAGGUUUAAAAAAAAAAAAAAGAUUUAUUUUUUUGAAAGAGUUACACAGAGAAGGAGAGGCAGAGAGAGAGCGGUCUUCCAUCCGAUGGUUCACUCCCCAGUUGGCUGCCAUGGCCGGAGCUGCAUCAGUCCAAAGCCUGGAGCCGGGAGCUUGUUCUGUGUCUCCCAUAUAAGUCCACGGGCCCAAGGACUUAGGCCAUCUUCUACUACUUUCCCAGGCCACAGCAGAGUGCUGGAUUUGAAGAGGAGCAGCCAGGACUAGAACUGGCGCCCAUAUGGGAUGCCAGCACCUCCUCAGGUGGUGGUGGUUUUACCUGCUGUGCAACA